ACAAACAACUUUGGUGUGCAAGGAUAUCUUUCUUUCUUUAACUAAUGUCCACAUACAUACUUCCUUGUCAGCAAAUUGGUUUGGACGUUUCCUCUUUUCCUUUUGCACAUUUUCAAAGAAACCAAAUUCCUUUUGGCUUGCUGACCAUACCUUCCCACGUGAAACUUUAGUGUACCAUGCUAUGGACAGCUUAAGUGUGUGGACAGCUUACAUGAAUUAAGUAAGUGGUGGCUCUUCUUGCUAGGAACGUGUGGAGUAUAAAAAUCUGAAAGACUUAGCUCCCUUUUUCACGUGAAAGCCAUCUUUCCUCUCCAUACCUUGAGUGCAUGUGGGACAUGGUGUCCCCCAUAUUUCUCCAACGAAAUAUUCCUUUCCAAAGUGUUGCUUGAUUAAAUGCUUUUCUACUUUUCAGAAUUAUUCCCCAUAUGACAAAUAUAAUAACCGUGAGUGGUGGCCCUAUUUCUGCUGGAAUACCGUGUGCACCUCUUCAACACCAUUUCUAUUUUAUUCAUCAAUUCACACCAAUUCCCUCCUCCAUUUAACGUGUUCUCUAAGUCCAUCUAUGUGCACUUCCACUUGCAGCUUGGUUCUCCAAAGCACACACCUAAAGCCUAUCCACGUUAGACAUGCAUGCUGAGAAUUAUUCCAGUUGAGGAGCUGCUACUGCUGCUGGCCGGACGUGUUGAAGCUUCUUCUCCCUUAGCAAGCUGCUGCUUCUUCUUUCUCCGAUCACCAUGCAGCUGCUGGACGUGCUGGACCAACAUUGAAUUGGAUAUUGGAAUUAGUUGUUUCGGAGGUUGCUGCUUGUCAUGACGCGGUUCUAAAGUUUAUGCUUACUCUUUUGGAUGACAUGCACGAUGUCUCCCCCCACUGUAUAUUUGGCUGAUCAUUUUAACUCUGUACUCCCCAAUUUUGAUGAAUACUUUGUGUACUUCUAUUUAACCCCUGACUGUGUUCUUGGUAGGGGUUGGUAAAGAAAUACUGGUAUUGGCCUUUUGUAUGUGUGUGUUUUUGUAGAUGGUGAUUAACGUAAUAGUGCAGGAACUUGGAAGCCUUUGACUUGAGAUAUGGAUAUGAUUGAAAUGUGUUU